rnacentral:rRNA from 1 species
GACGAACGCUGGCGGCGUGCCUAAUACAUGCAAGUCGAACGAGCGGCGGACGGGUGAGUAAUGUCUGGGAAACUGCCUGAUGGAGGGGGAUAACUACUGGAAACGGUAGCUAAUACCGCAUACCAUCAGAUGUGCCCAGAUGGGAUGAGCUAGUAGGUGGGGUAACGGCUCACCUAGGAGACGAUCCCUAGCUGGUCUGAGAGGAUGACCAGCCACACUGGAACGGGGAAACGGUCCAGACGCCUACGGGAGGCAGCAGUGGGGAAUAUUGCACAAGGGGCGCAAGCCUGAUGCAGCCAUGCCGGGUGUGUGAAGAAGGCCUUCGGGUUGUAAAGCACUUUCAGCGGGGAGGCGUUACCCGCAGAAGAAGCACCGGCUAACUCCGUGCCAGCAGCCGCGGUAAUUC